UUCGUGAUUCAAUGGUGUGACUGUGAAUUUUCAUUCAGAAUUUUUAUUAUUCUAGAAAACAAUUCGUAUUAUAUCUUUUUGAUUAUGCUUACAAAGUCUCCAAAGCCUGCCUACAAACGGUAUAUUACUUGGGGCAUCAAAGGUGCAUUGUUGAUAGAAGGAAUUGGUCUCGCCGCAUCCUACGGUCUCUGGUACAAGUUGAAUACCGACAGAGAUUUCCGUCUGUACAUGUUCAAGAACCACAACUGGGUACUGGAAGGUUACUACGGAAUCGGUGAAGCCAUCGCAGAUCAAAAGAUCCGAGAUCUGGAUCAGGCAAUUUGGUCGAACGAAGGCAAAAUUUAAACUAGCGGUGAGAUGUCAGUUCCUAUUAGAGCCACAUUUUGGGUGGUGACGUUUGGCUCCCUCGGUUAUGCACUGUUCAAGUUGGUCAAACCUGAUGAUGAACUACUUAAGCAGUUUAACGAAGAAUCAAAACACACAGAUGCCCGAAGAGUAAGCCACCAAACCAUUAAUGUUUUAAAACAAGCCGCUAGUCCCAAUUCAGACUUAAACAAGACAAUAGACGAUUUGUUAAAGAAAGGAAAAUGAGUGACAGAAAUUCAGUGUUAGAAA
rnacentral:misc_RNA from 1 species